GGUUAACGUCCCGCAACGAGCGCAACCCUGCUACUUAGUUGCCAUCAGGUCAAGCUGGGCACUCUAAGUGGACAGCCGGCGUAAGCCGGAGGAAGGUGGGGAUGACGUCAAGUCAUCAUGGCCUUUAUGUCCAGGGCUACACACGUGCUACAAUGGCGCAUACAGAGGGCAGCGAAGCCGUGAGGUGGAGCGAAUCUUGUCAAAGUGCGCCUCAAUUCGGAUUGCAGUCUGCAACUCGACUGCAUGAAGUUGGAAUCGCUAGUAAUCGCGGAUCAGCAAAGCCGCGGUGAAUACGUUCCCGGGCCUU
rnacentral:rRNA from 1 species